GUGGGGAAUAUUGGACAAUGGGCGAAAGCCUGAUCCAGCAACGCCGCGUGAGGGAUGACGGCCUUCGGGUUGUAAACCUCUUUCAGCGCAGACGAAGCGAAAGUGACGGUAUGCGCAGAAGAAGCACCGGCCAACUACGUGCCAGCAGCCGCGGUAAUACGUAGGGUGCGAGCGUUGUCCGGAAUUAUUGGGCGUAAAGGGCUCGUAGGCGGUUUGUUGCGUCGGGAGUGAAAACUCAGGGCUUAACCCUGAGCCUGCUUCCGAUACGGGCAGACUGGAGGUAUGCAGGGGAGAACGGAAUUCCUGGUGUAGCGGUGAAAUGCGCAGAUAUCAGGAGGAACACCGGUGGCGAAGGCGGUUCUCUGGGCAUUACCUGACGCUGAGGAGCGAAAGUGUGGGGAGCGAACAGGAUUAGAAACCCUAGUAGUCC
rnacentral:rRNA from 1 species